AUUGAACGCUGGCGGCAGGCCUAACACAUGCAAGUCGAGCGGAUGAAGGGAGCUUGCUCCUGGAUUCAGCGGCGGACGGGUGAGGAAUGCCUAGGAAUCUGCCUGGUAGUGGGUGAUAACGUCCGGAAACGGGCGCUAAUACCGCAUACGUCCUGAGGGAGAAAGUGGGGGAUCUUCGGACCUCACGCUAUCAGAUGAGCCUAGGUCGGAUUAGCUAGUUGGUGGGGUAAAGGCCUACCAAGGCGACGAUCCGUAACUGGUCUGAGAGGAUGAUCAGUCACACUGGAACUGAGACACGGUCCAGACUCCUAAGGGAGGCAGCAGUGGGGAAUAUUGGACAGUGGGCGAGAGCCUGAUCCAGCCAUGCCGCGUGUGUGAAGAAGGUCUUCCGAUUGUAAAGCACUUUAAGUUGGGAGAAAGGGCAGUAAGUUAAUACCUUGCUGUUUUGACGUUACCAACAGAAUAAGCACCGGCUAACUUCGUG
rnacentral:rRNA from 1 species